GAUGAACGCUAGCGGCAGGCUUAACACAUGCAAGUCGAGGGGUAUAUGUCUUCGGAUAUAGAGACCGGCGCACGGGUGCGUAACGCGUAUGCAAUCUACCUUUCACAGAGGGAUAGCCCAGAGAAAUUUGGAUUAAUACCUCAUAGUAUACUGAGUUGGCAUCAACAUAGUAUUAAAGUCACAACGGUGAAAGAUGAGCAUGCGUCCCAUUAGCUAGUUGGUAGGGUAACGGCUUACCAAGGCAACGAUGGGUAGGGGUCCUGAGAGGGAGAUCCCCCACACUGGUACUGAGACACGGACCAG
rnacentral:rRNA from 1 species